rnacentral:rRNA from 1 species
UACGUAGGGUGCGAGCGUUAAUCGGAAUUACUGGGCGUAAAGCGUGCGCAGGCGGUUCGUGAUGUCUGGUGUGAAAGCCCCGGGCUUAACCUGGGAAUGGCAAUGGAGACUGCAAGGCUAGAGUUUGGCAGAGGGGGGUAGAAUUCCACGUGUAGCAGUGAAAUGCGUAGAUAUGUGGAGGAACACCGAUGGCGAAGGCAGCCCCCUGGGUCAAAACUGACGCUCAUGCACGAAAGCGUGGGGAGCAAACAGG